AGAACGAACGCUGGCGGCGGGGUUUAGGCAUGCAAGUUGAGCGAGAAAGCCGCAAGGUGAGUACAGCAGCGUAAGGGUGAGUAAUAGGUAGUUCACGUACCCAGCAGACGCGAAUAAUUCUCCGAAAGGGGCUGUAAUGCGCGAUGAGACCACGUGCUUUUCGAAGCGUGAGGUCAAAGGUCGGGGAUCCUUCGGGACCCGGCGCUGUUGGAGCGGACGACCUCCGAUUAGCUAGUUGGCGGGGUAACGGCCCACCAAGGCGAUGAUCGGUA
rnacentral:rRNA from 1 species